rnacentral:rRNA from 1 species
GAUGAACGCUGGCGGCGUGCCUAAUACAUGCAAGUCGAGCGAACAGAUGAGGAGCUUGCUCCUCUGACGUUAGCGGCGGACGGGUGAGUAACACGUGGAUAACCUACCUAUAAGACUGGGAUAACUACGGGAAACCGGAGCUAAUACCGGAUAAUAUAUUGAACCGCAUGGUUCAAUAGUGAAAGACGGUUUUGCUGUCACUUAUAGAUGGAUCCGCGCCGCAUUAGCUAGUUGGUAAGGUAACGGCUUACCAAGGCAACGAUGCGUAGCCGACCUGAGAGGGUGAUCGGCCACACUGGAACUGAGACACGGUCCAGACUCCUACGGGAGGCAGCAGUAGGGAAUCUUCCGCAAUGGGCGAAAGCCUGACGGAGCAACGCCGCGUGAGUGAUGAAGGUCUUCGGAUCGUAAAACUCUGUUAUUAGGGAAGAACAAAUGUGUAAGUAACUACGCACGUCUUGACGGUACCUAAUCAGAAAGCCACGGCUAACUACGUG